GCCCAGCUAGCUCAGUUGGUAGAACAUGAGACUCUGAAUCUCAGGGACGUGGGUUCGAGCCCCACGUUGGGCG
rnacentral:tRNA from 2 species